AUGGAAAGAACAGUUUUAAUUCUGGUAACAAAAGUUUUAAUUCUGGUAAACAAGUCUACUACAUGUACAGCAACUUGCUACAGUUGUGGACGUGAAGGUCACAUUAGGACUGACCCAAGCUGUCCAGCUCGGGGGAAGAAAUGCAGGAAGUGUAAAAUCGUUGGUCAUUUUGAUAAAGUUUGUAAAACUAAGGAUAAGUCAAAACACGGAAAGAUUCGUCAAGUUGUUGAACAACCACAGAAUAACACGGAUGAUGAGGAAUAUGUAUUUAGCAUGAUCGGUGUAAAUCAGAUAAAUUCUGUGUGUGAAAAUAUUGUUGUCAAUAUAGGGAAUGUGAAUUUGAAAAUGAUAAUUGAUUCUGGAGCAUCAUGUAACAUCAUGGGAAUAAAUUUAUGGAAUUAUUUAAAAGAUAAUCGUGUGAAAUGUGUUUCGUCCAAGUCUACAAAGAGUUUAUUCGCAUAUGGUAGUGAGGAACCAUUGAAAAUCGCUGGAAUAUUUACAGCUACUGUACAAUGUAACAAUAGAACUUUAAAGGAUAUUGAAUUUGUUGUUAUUGAAGGCAAAGGUCAGGCUUUGUUAAGUCGUCGUAAUACAGCAGAACAGUUAGGUGUGCUGCAGCUUGUUCACAGUGUUAGUGAACCUGGAACAAUUAAGGACAAGUAUCCAGAAUGUUUUACAGGAGUUGGUAAAUUGAAAUCAUUUCAGUUACAGAUACCUAUCGACCCAGAUGUUGAACCCGUUAUUCAGCCUAUGAGGAGGGUACCGUUUAAUCUGCGCGAUAAACUUGGCAAGAAGUUAGAUGAACUUUUAGAUUUAGAUAUAAUUGAACAUGUCAAUGAACCUAGUCAAUGGGUUUCUCCAGUAGUAGUCGUGCCAAAACGUUCAGGUGAUGACAUCAGACUACUAUGUGUUGACAUGCGCCAGGCUAAUACAGCUGUGAAACGAGUACGACAUCCGAUUCCAACAAUAGAUGAACUAUUGCAAGAUAUGAACUCUAGUAAAGUGUUUAGUAAGCUUGAUGUAACUUGGGCCUAUCACCAAAUUGAGUUAAAACCAGAGUCUAGGGAAAUAACUACUUUUGUAACUCAUAAAGGGUUGUUUAGGUAUAAGCGCCUUAUGUUUGGUAUUAGUUGUGCCCCUGAAUUAUAUCAAAAUAUCAUGCAACAAGUCCUUCAGGGCUGUGAGGGUGUUCAUAACAUUAUGGAUGAUAUUAUUGUACAUGCUAGUAACCAGGUUGAACAUGAUAAAUGUCUUGAAAAUGUUGUUAGGGUACUGCGAGACAAAGGUAUUACUUUAAACAAUGAUAAAUGUGAAUUUAAUAUGUCCAAAGUAGUAUUCAUGGGUCAUGUUUUGUCUGGUCGGGGUAUUGGGCCAGCAGAUGUUCAAAGUCAAAGCUGUCGUUGAAGCACGUGAGCCAAGAACUUCAGCAGAAGUUCGUAGUUUCUUAGGUCUUGUUAAUUAUAGUGCUAGAUUUAUUUCUGACUUAGCUACUAUUUCAGCUCCGCUGCGUGCACUUACUCGUAAAGAUGCAACGUUCACAUGGGGUAAAGAUGAACAAAGGUCGUUCGAUGAGCUAAAACGUCGUCUUGCCAAUGCGGAAACUUUAGGUUAUUAUGACAAGUCGGCACUGACUAAGGUAAUCGCAGAUGCUAGUCCAGUUGGACUCGGAGCCGUGCUCAUACAAGAACAAAACGGUGAGAUGCGCAUUAUUUCUUACGCGAGUAGGAGUUUAAGCGAUACGGAACGCAGAUAUUCGCAGACCGAAAAGGAGGCUCUAGCCUUGGUAUGGGCGUGUGAAAGGUUUCAUGUUUAUAUCUAUGGAAGCCAGUUCGAGCUCUUAACGGAUCAUAAACCGCUUGAGUGUAUUUACUCUACAAAGUCGAAAGUAUGUGCUCGAAUUGAGCGCUGGGUUCUCCGUAUGCAACCAUAUACAUAUACUGUACGGUAUAUUCCCGGACCGAAAAAUAUAGCUGACUCGCUAUCACGUUUGAUCAAAGAAGGGAAAACACGUGACAAUCGGGAAAAUGUAACUGAGGAAUACGUUAAAUUUGUAGCUCAAGAAUCAACACCGGUUGCGAUGACAACACGCGAAAUCGAAAGAGCUUCCGAGAAUGAUCCUGAAUUAAAGGCUGUCCGAGAAUGUCUUGUUCACAGUCAGUGGCACCGUAUCGAGUUCAAAGAAUAUCUACCGAUUCGAAGUGAACUAUGCGCUAUUGGUCAAUUAGUACUUCGGGGUACUCGUAUCGUGAUACCUAUUAGUUUACGGGAACAGGUACUUCAGCUUGCUCAUGAAGGUCACCCUGGCAUUGUUGUCAUGAAAACGCGUUUACGAAGUAAGGUCUGGUGGCCAGGGAUAGACAAAAGUAUUGAGAAGUUUUGUCGAAGCUGUUACGGUUGUCAAUUGGUUAGUCAGCCUAGUAAACCCGAACCGUUAAAGCGUACCGAGUUGCCCUCUGCCCCGUGGCAACACUUAGCUGCUGAUCUGUUAGGACCGUUACCGAGCAAUCAUUAUAUGUUUGUAUUAGUUGAUUAUUAUAGCCGCUAUUUUGAAGUCGCUGUUACUAAGAAUAUUUCGUCGGAAAAUAUUACGUCGUUGAUUUCAAAAUUUUGCUUGACUCAUGGAUUGCCGUUAUCAAUUCACACCGAUAAUGGACCCCAGUUUGUUAGUCAACAUUUUAAGAACUUUAUGUCCGAACAUGGUAUAGUCCAUCAUAGAACAACUCCGUUAUGGCCACAGGCUAACGGCGAAGUAGAGCGCCAAAAUCGUUCGAUAAUGAAGCGUGUCAAAAUUGCGCAAGCCGAAGGUCGCGACUGGAAAUUAGAAUUGAAUAAAUUUUUAAUUAUGUACCGUAGUACUGCUCAUUCUACAACAGGAGUAAGUCCGUCCGAAUUACUUUUUGGUCGAAAAAUCAGAACAAAGUUACCUGAGUUGAUUGAUUAUAAUAUUAAUGAUUUUGAAGUACGCGACCGAGACGCCGAACAAAAGGAAAAAGGAAAAAAUAUAUGCUGA
rnacentral:sRNA from 1 species